rnacentral:lncRNA from 1 species
AGCUGGCUGGCCGUCCCGGCGGUGGGGGCUGUGGCGGUGGCCGUCCCGCGGGUGUGCCCGUGCUCGGAUCGAUGAUGACACCCACAAACGCAUUCCUUGGAAAAUCUGAACAAAAUGAGUGAGAACUCACUACCGUCUCCUCAUCGCAAACUGAGGUCCGGCACGUGGCUCCCACAGGGGACGUCGGGGGAGGGUCCCGUUGCCUUGGCUCCCUUGGCUGCUGCGGCGGAGAAACGGAGGCCAGCGCGGGGAGCGGAAGCCGGAGCCUGUCGGGAGCGACCCCGGGAAGGCCAGUCCCUCCUGCCGGAGGGAGGCGUGUUGGCGUGCGGCCGGUGGCGGGAU